GACAUUGUGAAAUUGUUAUUGUAUGUGCUAUAAGAGUGUGAUCAUUUAUCUAAACUGCUCAGUCUCGAUGAAACAGGCAUGAUCUGACAAGGAAUGGUUGCCUCUGUACAUACUUGGGGAGAAUACAUACGCUUACCUAGAGGUUUUCUGAUGUUGUGGCGUGCUGGGGCUGGAGUAUGAUCCUCCUGGUCUGAGUCUGCAAGCCAGCAGGAGACAUUCACAGAGGGUGCAUAUCACACAUUCCAUAACACGUCUAAAGUGUCAUUGAUAACAAAUAUAUCGGGUGUCCUGUGAUUUACAAAGAGAAUUUGAUGGUGAAGAUGGACUGGAGCAAUAAAAUCAAUACAGGAAAACAACACAUAAAGCCAUUAUUCAUAAUUUUACCAAUUAGCUGUUUUCUGCGAUGUCAGAGAUAUUUAAAAAUGUAUAAACCUCCCAUUGGUGACUGGCAAUAAUUAAUAAUUGCUGGCCUAAUUAUGAUAUCAAGUCUCAGCAUCCAACAUUAUUGCAUGACAUAAAGCUAUAUCCACAGAAAUGAGUUCUAAACACAAACUGAACAAACUUAAGGGAAUGCAACAAGCUGUUGCCACAAAUAGACGAGACAUUAGAUUAUUUGAUCAGCUAGGUACUGUAUAAACGUGAACUGAUUCAAGUCCAUUUCAUGACAAGAAAAUGGGCUUGAAAAUUAAAAUGGAUUGAACUAAUUGCCUCGAUUAGACUUUGGCCGUUCUAUUAAAUUCUACAUAUAUUCACACCCAAGAAUUGGUGCCGAUCUGUAGCAUCAGCAAUGUGUUUUGAGAUUUUCA